UCUAGGCUGGUGGCUUCCUCAGGCCAGGUCCCCAGACGCUGCCCAGCUGUUACGGCUGAGGGAGCCAGGCGUACAGGACCCAACUAGCUUUCAGGCUCCUCAGGUGGCCCGAAUGGUGGGGGCUGGGUCCCACAGACUGUGUCCUAUGCAGAUGGCCGCUGCCAUGAGGUCAUAGAGGUGGGGAUGGGGGAACGGGUCACUGCAGCCUCAAGGUCUGGGUCUGGCCAUUGGGUGGCCUUGGCCAGAGCUCUGGAGCCCUGUAGACACAGCCCCCAGUCUGUUCCCUGGGCCCCUCGCUCAUCCGCUGGCCCAACGCAACUGACUCCUACCUGAAUCUCAUGAAAAGACGGCUCAGUGAUGACUCCCAGUCGCAGCUUCAGUCUGGGACAUGGAUGAAAGCCCUGGUGUGGGGAGCGAGGCUGCCAGGAUCUCUGGUGCCAUAAACCAGUGGAUUCCUCUCCCUUCCCAUAAGAGCUAUAUAAAGAGGAUGGAACUGCAGAUCAUUUUGUUAACUACACUUUCUAAGCAACACCAAAUUGCCAAGAAAGUAGAAAUACACGAUAAACAUUCACAGAAGUACAGCAAUUAAAGAAGCUAUGAUAACGUACAUAGAAUACAUGAUAUAUACAUGUGUGACUUAUCUUUUUUUCAAGCGACAGGAUGCCUUCUCUCCCUGUACUUGAAGCACUCUAUAAUGGAAAUAGAAAAUGCAAUACUCAAAUACCAACAACCUCCUAUGAAGUUAAACGGCAAAAGUCAUUCUCUGCUAUUAUACCUGGUACAAAACGAGGUUUUCUGAGGCCGCUUCCACACGCAGGUUAUGCUAUAAAAGCAACUAUUAAGUGAUUAUACUCUUGCAACUCAUCAAGGGUU